rnacentral:rRNA from 1 species
AUUGAACGCUGGCGGCAUGCUUUACACAUGCAAGUCGAACGGUAACAGGCCUUCGGGUGCUGACGAGUGGCGAACGGGUGAGUAAUGCAUCGGAACGUGCCCAAUCGUGGGGGAUAACGUAGCGAAAGUUACGCUAAUACCGCAUAAGCCCUGAGGGGGAAAGUGGGGGACCGCAAGGCCUCACGCGAAUGGAGCGGCCGAUGUCAGAUUAGCUAGUUGGUAGGGUAAAGGCCUACCAAGGCCACGAUCGGUAGCUGGUCUGAGAGGAUGAUCAGCCACACUGGGACUGAGACACGGCCCAGACUCCUACGGGAGGCAGCAGUGGGGAAUAUUGGACAAUGGGCGCAAGCCUGAUCCAGCAAUGCCGCGUGUGUGAAGAAGGCCUGCGGGUUGUAAAGCACUUUCAGUGGGGAAGAACAGAUUCGGGUCAAUACCCCGGAGCCCUGACGUUACCCACAGAAGAAGCACCGGCUAACUCCGUGCCAGCAGCCGACGG